CUUGAGAUCUAAAUCAUCGUACUGCAACCAACCCACCUACCAAAGAGAAUUUCAUGAGCUGAUCUUUGGUGGUGGGCCUAAUGUACGUGAGACAAGAAUUAGAUGAAAAGAGGAAGAAUAGUGACCAUCACUAAAGAUAUGAAUUUCAACUACCUGGCAAAAUUUUAAUCCUCAAUAAAGGGUUUGUACUCCGCUUCGUUGUUAGUAGCUAAAAAAGUUAGAGUUUAAUGCGUGCCUAAAAAUUGUCCCUCUAAGGUAUCAACAACCACACCGACACUUGCGCCCUAAGUUGUUCUUGGCUCAUUCAGUAUAUUUUCAAGUCUUGGAUCGAUCAAUCUGAAGGUGGUUCUUGACGAACCUUGGGACCCUAGUGAUGUUCUGCAAUCAUGUUUGAUUGCUUUAGACUAUUGUUAAAGUUGAAGUUCUUACCAAGCUCUCCUCCCCCUGUGUGCAGAAAGAAUACGGAAUAUCCAAUUCUAGACUCAUGGUCUAAUGGUGAGAACUCAGCAAUAAAAUCAAUCAAAACGUGACCAAUGAUGUGCCCUUGGUUGGAAAUUUAUAUCAAAAGUCCAAGCUCCACCACUCGUUGGAUAGUCUCCCGGACAAGUCUACCUUCAUAAGCAUGUUCUUCAAGGGGGACUCGGUAUAAAACUGCUAUAGGAUGAGCUUGAAAAUAGUGCAUCAACUUUCUCGAAGUAAUAACCCAAAGCAAAAAAACCAACUUCUCCAACAUUGUACCUUGGUGGCAAUCCGUGAACGUUCUUGCUAGAUCCGGUUUUCUCUCACCUACCUCCUUAGCAAUACGAUUAAUGGCGUUUGCUAGAUAUGGCCAAGGUAGGUUAGAUAUGAUUAGUUAUUCCCUAUCCGGGUAAAGAAAGUGGUGGUUUGGUCAGGUACUUGUGAAUUCUUGCCAAUUCUACCAAUCACAACUUUAGUUCUUCCAUUCAAAUUUGGUAUUUUUUUUGCAAAUGGGUUAAAAAAAGGGACGACAUUUAUCAAAAGACUUCCUAAUAACACCGAUUGAGUGUGCCCCCCCCAUCCCAGUGACUUGGACAUCUUCGCAAUCUUGGACUCUCCAGAUCUCUUAUAGCACCGUCAUUCCGGGUGUUCGCUUUCAUUCCCGUGGUGAAGUCACUAUGGGUCCUAGGAAUUGUUUGAGCUAACUCCAAGGACUCACUUAUCUCCAUUCAAGUUAGUUUGUGUCUCUUAAGAAUUCUCGAAUAUUUCGGCCGAGGGUCCCUUCAAAUGACUCUGAUAUUCCUUAUUCUUGAUCACCAUGUCAUCUGUAAUAGUAAUAACCCGACCCUAAGGUAUCUUGAUUUUAAUGCAGAAAUAGAAAUUGGUGAAAUUAAAUUUAAGUCCUUAAUACGAUUUGGGGUUAAAUUAAAAGGAUUAAAUAACUUUUGGGAUAUAAAUAAAGAAGAUAUUAAAAGUUAAAGGGUUUAAAGUGUAAUUUUACUAAUUAAUUUGACACGCCAUGGGGUGGACUCACCCAUAGGCCGCCCUCCGCUCAUUUUUAUCUUUCGUCUUCUGUUGGAAAAUAGAGAGAUAAAUGAGAGAAAGUGAAUAGAAAGAAAAGAAUUACGAAACAGAGAGUGAAAAGAAAGAAACAGAAGAUUGGGAAAAAUUAUAUAAUGUGGUUAGUAUUUGUUACGAAAGAUAGGGAGGUAGGAUAAUGGGUGAGAUGAGUACGAUGAGGUAAAAUUUUAGUAUGAUGAUCGUGGGAGUCAGACCUUCAUUCUAUGAUGUCAAUUUCAAUUGGAGGUAAAGCAGGGAAGGUAUACAAUAUGCUUCUUAAACCUCCGGCGUUAUUUUUUUAAUUAUCUAAUUUUGUACUCUUUUUGAGCAAGGUGUUAUCUGUUAAUCCAUGAGUUUUAUUGAAAUUCAUUGAUAUUGUGAAAUCAUGAUUGUAUUGGCUGAAGUGUCAUGGUAUUGAAUGGUAAGGACUGGGUGAGCCUGCAAAUAACCCUGGCACGGAUAGCAAAAGGCUAGGUGAUGUGGGCGAGGCCGGCCAAGUUGCGUACCAAGAAAGACCGGGUAUGCGGCCUUUGAUGAAUGAUUGAUUAAGUUGAGCACAUUCCAGUUGUAUUUUAUACUUCCCUGCUUAAUUUAUUUUUAGGGGGCGAGGAGUCCGCGGUAGACGAGAGGGUCAGAGAAAGACUUGAAAUUUAAUAAUUGUUGUAUAUUUUAUUUGAAGAUAAUUGUAAAAAAUACGACUCUGUAAUUGGAAUAUUUGAUGGCUUUUAGCGCUCUGAUUUGUAUAUUUGGAGAUACGAUUGUGAAACUAAAUUGGGGCCGUGUCGUUACAAUUGGUAUCAGAGCUAGGCUUUUGGUCCUACAAUGGGACGUGUGGGAGGUUUAGGUGGUGGAUCUUAUUUUAAAAAUUUUUCUCAUUUUCUACAUUUAAGUUAGACUAACUAAAAUAUAAUUUUUGAUCAAGUGGCGCAAGUGGAAGCGUGUAUUUUGACAUAAGACUUUCUAAAUUUUCAAGACGAAAUUUUGUUAAGGGAGUGAAGAAUGUAAUAACUCGAUCCUAAUUUAUCUUUAUUUUAUUACAAGAAAUAGAAAAUGUUUGAAAUUAAAUUUAAGUCAUUUAAAUACGAUUGGGUACAUUAAAAGAUUAAUACUUUGGGAUAAAUUAAAGAAGUAUAAAAGUUAAAGGGUUUAAAGUGUAAUUUUACUAAUUAAUUUGAACACGCAUUGUGGUGGACUCACCCAAAUGGCCGCCUCCGCUUAUUUUUAUCUUUCGUCUUCUGUUGGAAAACGAGUUAUAUAUGAGAGAAAGAAUAUAAAGAAAGAAUUAAACAACAACAAAACAGAGAGUGAAAAGAAAGAAAACAGAAGAUUUGGGAAAUUAUAUAAGGUGGUUAGUAUUUGAUUAACGAAAGAUAGGGACGUAAUCAUGUGAGAUAUAUCCGAUUAGGUAAAAUUUUAGUAUGAUAUCGUCGGGAGACAGACCAAUUUCAUAUCUAAUUGUGUCACUUUCAAUUUGAUGUAAGCCGGAGGUAACAAUAUGCUUUCUUAAACUCCAGAGUUAUUUUGCUUUAAUUAUCUAAUUUUGUACUCUUUUUGAGCAUUGUUGCUAUCUGUUGAAUCCAUGAGUUUUAUUAAAAUUCAUGAUAUUGUUGAAACAUGAUUUGUAUUGGCGAAGUGUCCAUGGUAUUGAUGGUACGGACUGGUGACGCCCUGCAAAUGAUUCCUGUCUGGCACCGGGACUACUAGAAAGGCUAUGAGGUGGGCGAAGACCGGCCACCAUUGCGUACCAGGAAAGACGCGGGUAUGAGUUCUUUGAUUAAAAAUUGGUUUGAUUCGUUGAGCAACUUCCAUUGUUUUAUAUUCCCUGUCUAAUUUAUUUUUCAGGCAAGGCGAGGAGUCCCGGGUAAUACAGAUGGGUCAGGUGGAAAGACUUGGAAAUUUCAUAAUUUUUUUGUAUUAAUUUUAUUUGAAGAGAAUUGUAAAAAUAAAGAUCUGAUAAUUGAAUAUUGAAGGCGUUUAGCACUCUGAUUUGGUAAUUUUGGAGAUACAUUGUGACACUACAAUUAACGGCCCGUGGCCGGGUCGUUACGUAUAGACAAUCCAUGUAUUAACCCAUCAUAUGUCUAACAUCUUGGUAAUCAUUCGUUGAUACAUGGCUUCCGCUCCGGCAUUCUUUUCUUCAUUCUUCCUGCUUACAGGGCCUGAAACUUGUAACAUAAAAUACUCGAAUUUGAUGACGGUUUUCUACCCGUUUUGGCUCGAGCAUAGCGAUCUGGUGGCAACCUUAGUAAUGCAUCUAAAAGUCCUCAUCCGAUCAUUGCUUGGGGUAGAAUCCACCACUUAAGCUAUCUUGCAGUAAAUAGUCUUUGCGGACAAGCUCGUAAAGAACUUGUGAAAUCUGUGCAACUGCCACUUACUGUUUUCUUCCUGCUUUACCACAAUCGGUUUAACAUCAGCUCGUAUACAACACUUCCUUAUCUCUUCUGCUUCAUUCAUUUUGGUCAACUUCUUCAACCAUAGCAUCCACAUAUUCAAUUGUGUUUACGGGCUGAACUUCUGGCAUAACAUUAUGCUCGUGCCUAAUAAAGUUCGGGUCAAUCCCAAACAUCUCGUAAAGGGUCCAUUUCAACUUUUGCUUUCAGAAACUCAACAAGCUCAGUUCUUUAUUGCUCUUUUAAGUGCAAAUCCAAAAAAAAGGCCCCGAGUUUGGUUCACCGAGUUCAUGACGAACUAAGUCCUCAAACACCUUUUCUUUGGAAAUUCUCCCAACAUCUUUGGGAACUUCUUUUUCUUCUUCCACCAAUUGCACUGACUUCAUGGUUGCCUUAGUAUUCAUCGUGGCUAGGUAAUACUACUUGACAGCAACAUGAUCUCCAUAAAGAGAUUCUACUCCCUUUGGUGCAGAGAACUUGAUGAUUUUUGGUGCAAAGCGGAGGCAAUGCAUUUCAUCCUAUGAACUCAAUCUUGACUCACGAUAGCAUUGUAUGGAGAUGGGAUAACUAUCACACCGAACUCGGUCUCCAACUCUUGGGAACUAACUUAGACUUUAAGCGUUACGGCUCGAAUUUGUGGGGUGGAAGAAAUCGAGUGCAAACAAAGCGGUAGCGCUAAGGGCCUUUGUGUUGGUUCUGAAAGACUGCAACCGUAACAAGGACGACUCAGAACUAUUCUAGGAACUGCUAUCCGACAAUCAAGUUAGUGAUCGGGGUAAACAAGAGAGCAAGAGAGAGAGUUCUUAAGAUCUAGUUCUAGAAAGAGAAAGUGUAAAAGAGAGCGAGAUUUUUUUCAUUACUUGUUCAAGAGAUAUAAAUCUUUCUUUUAUAGUGUAGCUUGUCGAAUGUGAACAUGCGCUAGCUGUUAUGUCAGUGAGUAAGUGGCUAACUCAAUUAUACCUCUACUGAUGUGGUUGGCAGCUAGUAUGUCUCGUAUAGGAAACUGAGCCAACCGUGUGGGACGCCACAGGGAAGUUCGUGAAGUAUACUAUCCUGUGCCCCCACAGCUAGGUCAAGUAAAUCCAUUCGGCUACAACGACGGUUGAAUAUUUUUCCCCCCUUACAAGCUUGUAAGGGUAAUAUAGUAAUUUAUUUUUCUAUUAACUUUUAAGUUAAAAGACGAAUAGUGACAAGGGAGUCAAUAUAAUUUCCAAUAGGUUGGAUUUGUAUUCGCUAAUAAGGCCAAACCACAAGGGAGGGUCAUGUAUUUUACCUUUUACUAAUCAGAGAAAAUUUCAUUAAACCCAUUUUAACUAAGACCCCGUUAGCGAAUGACCCCUCAUGUUGAACUCCAAACACUACAACUGUUCAGUAUGAGUAUAGACAAUAAACUCCUGUGUAAAACAAUCUAAGAGUAUGAAUUGAAAACCGUCAUACGACCAGGCCAUGCAUAUCAAUGGACAAAUAUUAACGAAAAAUAAUCCUUGUUCAAUUUUGAUAGAAAAGACUAUCCAAGUUCAAAACAUGAUAAAAUAAGUAAUGCUUUUCUUUUAACCCACAAACUAGGUAAGUUAUCUUUAUAUAAAAAAAAGACUUAUCCAAGUCUAUUGCUAUCCGUCCACCCAAAGCCAGAAAAGAUAGUCCAAUUCCUCAGAAUUUACAAGUAACCAUGAUCCAUCAAGCUCGAUUUUAUGUAGCAGUCUAAAAGUAGCUAAUUGGUCAUUUAACAUACCGUUAAGAGUCUUGGAUCAACCUUAGGUAGAUAGAAGUUAAGUGGAGGAGAAUAUUCUCUUUUACAGGACUGGAUAAGUACAUUCUUUUUGAGAUGCCUAUAAUGUCAACUACUAUGAGUCCAAAGGGUUUUCAAACAAAAAAACCUUUUUUCAUCAAAUACAUGACUAGGCAUAUAUGAAUACAAAUUUUGGAUGAAUGAACACAAAUGGGUGGAGGUUAGACUCCAUUUAUUUCAUUUUGGGUGAUUUCGAGUUAAUACAUAAAUCAAUCAUCAAUCCUGACAUUUAAAAAAUAACAAUAACACCCUUAAUUUUAAAAUGUGUAACGCCUAGACUAAUACACAAAACACCCUUAAUAAUGAUAGUAAAAUUGAUUGUUCAUUCAUAAUUUCAAUAAUUAAAAUAUCAUAUAUGCUUUUUUUUUAAUAAGUUAUUUGCAUUUGGUUCUUGAAUUGGCUAGGGAAAGGAAAGUAAAAUUUCUUUUGACAAAUGCUUCUUCAUGUUCUUCCAGCUUCUCGAAGAUUGAAAGGAAAAAAAUCAUUAUCUUCAACAAGUAGCAAACCUAAACAGAACCAUACACGAAGUUUCGUUUCAGUUUUAUCCAAUAACUCUCUGCCCUACAUUCGUCUCAAAAACUCAUCGACCCACAGGUUUGGUGGAUUGAUAUCCAUUUAUCGGUUUUUCCAAAAAGAAAAAAUUCCCAUUCGGUCCAACGGAUUGCAACUUCAAAUCUAAAUUCUCUUUUAAAGCCAAAUGCUCUCUAAUUGGAUUUUUUAUUUAGAACGUUGUCAGUGAAUGUAGAAUCAAGUCCGUGAAAAAAAUAAACUAUCUUCAUCCCAUCCAUCCCCCAGCCUGUAGUAUGAUCUUUGCCUUGGUGUAUCCCAAAUUGCAAAAAAACACCCACACCCUCUACAAGAUUGAAGAAAUUUAAAAGCAUAAAACAGACAUUGACAAUCAAAAUAAAAAAAUAAUAAUUUCAUUCCGAUGUUCCAGGACGAUGAACAAGAGAGGCAUGGCACACAUCCAUAGGCAGCCGCCGAAAAUGGAGCACCAAAAAACCUUCUGGUGCAUGACAAACAUAGGAGGAUCAGCAUCAGCAACACCAAGAUUCGUGAGAAAGAGAAUGUAAGAGUACAUCGAAUACAUAGGCCGACCACUUGAUCAAUGAAAUGCACUAAGAAUUGUAAAAGUGCAUCAAACGACUCGAAUGGGUUUCCAAUGUAACCCACAUCAAACCCCAAUUACACGACCGACUACAAAAUAAUUUUGAAAUGACUAGGAAAACAAUAAAAAGAGUUGGAGGCUAAGAGAGGAUAACAAGUGUUGUUGGCCAUCAACAAGCUCGAAAGCUUUCAAAGUUGAUGUUAUAACUUUCAUAUAACGGCCUUCCAUUGGGGUAAACAAUAAAAAAAUAGCAAUCACACACAGAAGGAAGCAUUUCAAAAACACGAAAACAAAAUUCAAAAGGACACACAAAAAAAGAAAUGAUUCGAAAGGAAACAAGGCCUUCAGAAUCUAGAGGGAGACUCAUAGAGGAAGUCAUUCGAAGUUCGAACAAUGAUCGCCCAGAUGGAAACGGACAAAACAUCGCAAUGGCAUCAUCGGCCAUUUUUACCAAUCCACGGAUUUACGUGGUGUGUUGUGGGGUGGUGUGUGAGAGACGAGAGAGAGAGAGAGAGAGAGAGAGAGGGAGAAGAGAGAGAGAGAGAGACUUGA
rnacentral:lncRNA from 1 species